UCUCCUUGAAUCCGUGGAGAGGGGUUCAAAGAGUUGUCUCUGGGGUCCAGCAGACCUGUACCUAAAAUCCUGCAUUGCCACACUUGCAGGUAUGUGAUCUUAGGUAGGUUACUUUUCUUUUUUUUUUUUUUUUUUAAAUUUUUUAUUGGAUUUUAGGUUUUGGGGUACAUGAGCAGAGCAUGCAAGACAGUUGCGUAGGUACACACAU
rnacentral:lncRNA from 13 species